GCGGAGCCUGAGCGAGCUCGGGGGCUUGCUGAGGGUUAACACUUGUUAGUCAGAUUCUACCCGGAACUGGGCAACGAACUUGCGCAAACUUAAGCACGGAUUUCUAACUUUUGGGGAGUUCGUAUUUUCUCCCCCAGGUUGUGGGGCGGGAGGUGACUGGGCGUGCGUCCACAUAAGUGUGUGCAAAGUCAACUUUGGACGCCUUGGUGAGAGGGAACAGAAGACGAAAGAAGGAAAAAGAAAUUUGGAAAACAGUUUUUCUCCUUGAGAGUUGAAUCAAGGUUAAGUAUAAAGACCUGGCCAUGCCUCCACAGAAAGACAUUGUGAAAAUUGCCAUCCAAAUGCCAGGGGCCUACCCCCAGCUCAUUGAUUUAGACCAGAAAAAGCCUUUGUCAACAGUCAUUAAGGAAGUAUGUGAUGGAUGGAACAUCAAUUGCCCUGAAAACCAUGCACUUCAGUACACAGAUGGGAUACAGACAUACAUUACAGAAACUAACCGACUGGACAUCAAAAAUGGAAGUAUUUUGCGUCUCACCACUGCUCCGGGUCGUUAUGCAGACCAGCUGUUUGCUGGCAUCCAAAACACCAACAAUGGUAUUAAAUGUGACUCACUAAAACAACUGGCCUGCGUCUCCACUGAUGUAACAUUUGCCCAGGAGUUCAUCAACCGCGAUGGACAUAACCAGCUUGUCUUCAUUGUGGAGAAUGGCAAUGACCCUUCUGAAAUUAUUGCACACGCACUGAAAGCCUUCAUGGAAUUAAUGGAUCAUGGAAUUGUUUCCUGGGAGAAUCUGUCUUUCAUCUUCAUUAAAAAGAUUGCCAACUAUGUCAAUACAAAGGCGAUGGAUGCUUCCAUCCAGCAGCUCUCAUUAGCAAUCUUAGAGAGCAUGGUUCUAAGCAGUAGCAGUUUAUUCCAGCAGGUCAAACAUGAAGUCACUCUGGAACAACUUGUUGAACACUUGCAAGUACUGAACCAGCAAAUUCAAACAAAAGCCAUGGCUUUGCUGAUAGCUCUUCUUCAGACAGCAAGUGACUUGGAGAAACGGGAAAUGAUUGAAUUUUUGGGGAAGAAAAAUAUGCGGCAGUAUAUUUACAAGAAUAUUAUUCACAGCUCUGGUGCAAUUGGAGAUGAGAUGACCCAUUACUUGUAUGUUCUGCAAUCUGUAACUCUAAAUCUCUUGGAGCCAAAAAUGAAAACUCCUUUUGAUUCUUAUAACCAGGAGCAACGGGACAUUCUCCAUGCAUUGAGGCAAGUUGCCUUUGAGUCAGAUGGAGAAGCCAAUUUGUCUAAUGAGAGACGACGUUCCCUCUGUGCUAAAGAGUUCAAGAAGCUUGGGUUCUCGAACAACACUAACCCUGGUCAAGAUCUGAAUCGCACUCCACCCGGACUUUUAGCUCUAAACACCAUGGCUUACUUCUCUUCACGCUAUCCUGAUGCCUACAGCCGGUUUGUUUUAGAGAACAGCAGUCGGGAAGACAAGCAUGAGUGUCCUUUUGCCAGGAGUAGUAUCCAGCUCACACAGAUGCUGUGUGAAAUUCUACGGAUUGGGGAGCCUACUUCUGAGACUGGACAGGACUAUUAUCCAGUCUUCUUUGCUCAGGAUCACCUUCUGGAGGAAUUAUUCUGUAUUUGUAUACAGCUGCUCAACAAGACAUGGAAAGAGAUGCGAGCCACACAAGAGGAUUUUGACAAGGUUAUGCAGGUCGUUCGGGAGCAGAUAACACGAACCCUGUCCAGCAAGCCCACCUCUCUGGAGUUGUUUAAAAAUAAAGUGAAUGCUCUCAACUACAGUGAGAUUCUUAAACUGCGACAGACUGAGCGCCUUCACCAGGAGGAAACACUUGCACCCCCUGUGUUAGAAUUAAAGGAGAGACUAAAACCAGAACUGCUGGAGUUGAUCCGACAGCAGAGGCUCAACCGCCUCUGUCAUGGAACACUUUUCAGGAAAAUCAGCAGUCGGAGACGACAAGACAAGCUGUGGUACUGUCGACUUUCUCCUAAUCAUAAAGUGCUGCACUAUGGAGAUGUGGAUGAAGAGACAGACUGUCAUCCUAUUGAGACACUUCAAGAAAAAAUUCCUGUGGCAGACAUCAAGGCACUACUGACCGGCAAAGACUGCCCACAUAUGAAAGAGAAGAGCUCGGGGAAACAGAACAAGGAAGUUUUGGACCUUGCCUUCACCAUUAUAUAUGAUGUGGAAGACUACAGUUUGAACUUUAUUGCGUCAUCAAGAACGGAUUUUUGCCUUUGGACUGAUGGUUUGAAUGUCUUGCUGGGGAAAGAAAUGAACAGCGAGUGCAUGCGGAGUGAGUUGGAUAUUCUCUUAUCCAUGGAAAUCAAACUGAGGCUACUGGACCUGGAGAACAUUCCAAUCCCAGACGCUCCACCACCUUUGCCAGAUCCUCCCAGCAAUUACCACUUCUGCUAUGACUUCAGCCACAGUGAACAGUAGACUCAAAAGUGAUUUCACCUCACCAUGGACACAUUUUUGGAGAGCCAUUGAAGGUUCUCGUUUAGAUCCCAGAGGAGACAAGCAGCAUCACCAAGACUCAAUCUUUGCUCAAGUUUUCACAAGUGAACAAAAACAAUCCUGUGACUGCUGAGCACCCAUUGUAUAGCACUGCACAGCAUAUCUUACCAUUUCCUUGACGCAGCAACACUUGGCUUUUCAAGUGCCAAGUGAAGCUGCUUUAAGGUGGACAUGGUCAAAUCCAGUAUGUGCCCACUCAUUUGAAAUAUAUAGUAGACCUCACAAGAAGCAGCAUGUUUGGUGCAGCCUAUCUUAUGGAUAAAACACCCCCAAAGCUUGUGUGUGGACCUGCUUAUGUGAUGUUGUCACAGUGAUUGAAGGCAACAGCCCUCCAAUUUCAAGAGACAAUACAGCAGAGUAAUAAUUGUAACUGCCUUAAAGUUAAGCUUAUAAGGUGCAUAGGAAGUGCUGCUGUCUCAUCUGUUGUGUCAAUGGAGAGACAAAAAAAUUUUAAUCAGGGAUAUGCGAGAUUGAUCUUUUAUGUAGUGAAACACUGAAUCCUGACUUGCCCUACCUCUGAAGUUAUUAGCAGGCCUUAGGAAUAAUUACUGACUGGCAACGUUAAAGUGUGCUGCCUGGUACAGAUCCUCAAUUAGCUUGGAGGCCUCAGCUGAUCUAGUGACAUUCAAGGAGGAAGUUGAGUGAACUUUUCUAGCGAUUCAGUAGACCUUUCUGCACUGUAAGGUAACUUUUUCAAUCAAAACUGUCAUCUUUGUUUCAGUUAUGCGUAAUUCAAAUGAAACCACUUUCAUUUAAUAGUGCAACUCCCAUGUACAAAACUGUGUGUAAAUAGACACAUGCUGAUUUAUUCUUGCAUAACCUUUCCAAUAUUUUAUGAUUUUUUCCACCUAAAGAUAUAUAUGUUAAGUUAAAUGGAAGGUGUAAAUUGUCUGACUAAAUGACUGGAUAGGAUUUGAGCCCUGCUGACCUGAGUGUUGACACAAAGUGCAAUAGUGGAUGGACAAUUAAAUGUUUGGUCAACUCUUACUGUUUGAUGGAAAUUCCUAAAAAAAAAAGCCUUUUGACAAGCUCCACUGUGGCCUAUGGAGAGACUCUUUUGUUUUCAAUGCUGCUCAUUAGACGUAGUCUUGUUUUGAGUAUCUUCAUUUGGCAGCUUCAAAUGGCAGUGCUGAGAGUUUUUAGGUUUUAUGAUUAGUGGCAUCAAAUAAAAAGAAAAUGGCA